UUAUAAAAGAGAUUGAGAAAGGCGCAAGUUGACUAGUAUUUCGCAGGCAUACAGUUGUGUUGAAAAUGUUCGCAAAAGGACUUCUUAUUGGCUUGUUGGUUGCUGUUGUAAGCGAAAAGGUGACGGCAGCACCAGAUGGUUGUACCCUACAGCUCUAUCCCUGCGCUUUAAUAGUAUUGGAAUUACAGCCACUUACAACGCGACUCACAAAUGGCGACUUGACAGCAUUGCCCAAGAUGUGCGGAAUCUCCAGAAGGGGACAGACUUGCCUGAGGUCCGUACCCUCCUCGUGUUCCUCCAACGAAAAUUACACAAGGCUGACCCAAGCUCUUCGAGUUCUCACUACACAAUGCCGUUUGUUGGGUCAAAGAAAAUAAGAUGAAACACAUCCUAGACAAUUCGAAAAGACCGCAUGUGUUGUAUUGUCCAGUUAAAAAUAGUAGUGAAUAAAUAUCGUUCAAAUGGUA